rnacentral:tRNA from 1 species
UGGAGUUAGCUCAAAUGGUAGAGCAUGCUGGCGGAAAACAGCAGAUGCAGGUUCAAGCCCUGUACUCCCAA